GACGAACGCUGGCGGCGUGCUUAACACAUGCAAGUCGAGCGGUAAGGCUCCUUCGGGAGUACACGAGCGGCGAACGGGUGAGUAACACGUGAGCAAUCUGCCCUUCACACGGGGAUAACCCUCGGAAACGAGCGCUAAUACCCGAUACGACCACUUCAGGCAUCUGAUGGUGGUGGAAAGUUCCGGCGGUGAAGGAUGAGCUCGCGGCCUAUCAGCUUGUUGGGGGGGUAACGGCCCACCAAGGCAACGACGGGUAGCCGGCCUGAGAGGGUGACCGGCCACACUGGGACUGAGACACGGCCCAGACUCCUACGGGAGGCAGCAGUGGGGAAUAGUGGACAAUGGGCGAAAGCCUGAUCCAGCAACGCCGCGUGAGGGAUGACGGCCUUCGGGUUGUAAACCUCUUUCAGCAGGGACGAAGCGCAAGUGACGGUACCUGCAGAAGAAGCACCGGCCAACUACGUGCCAGCCGCCGCCGUAA
rnacentral:rRNA from 1 species